GGGGCUUGGGCUCAGUUGGUGAGAGCGCAGACCUGAUAGGGAUGAGGUCACAGGGUCCAUGCCUGUUAGCCCCA
rnacentral:tRNA from 1 species